rnacentral:rRNA from 1 species
AUUGAACGCUGGCGGCAUGCCUUACACAUGCAAGUCGAACGGUAACAGGUCUUCGGAUGCUGACGAGUGGCGAACGGGUGAGUAAUACAUCGGAACGUGCCUAGUAGUGGGGGAUAACUACUCGAAAGAGUGGCUAAUACCGCAUGAGAUCUACGGAUGAAAGCAGGGGAUCGCAAGACCUUGUGCUACUAGAGCGGCCGAUGGCAGAUUAGGUAGUUGGUGGGAUAAAAGCUUACCGAGCCGACGAUCUGUAGCUGGUCUGAGAGGACGAUCAGACACACUGGGACUGAGACACGGCCCAGACUCCUACGGGAGGCAGCAGUGGGGAAUUUUGGACAAUGGGCGCAAGCCUGAUCCAGCAAUGCCGCGUGCAGGAUGAAGGCCUCCGGGUUGUAAACUGCUUUUGUACGGAACGAAAAGCCCUGGGUUAAUACCCUGGGGUCAUGACGGUACCGUAAGAAUAAGCACCGGCUAACUACGUGCCAGCCGCCGCAGUAA